rnacentral:piRNA from 1 species
CGAGGAUGUACUCUUUCCCGUGCC